rnacentral:ribozyme from 1 species
UGCCCAGCAACUCCUAUCCCUACCUCCUCGUGGUACUGGCCGGGGUACGAGUAACCUUGGGGAAGAUCGGGUAACCAACCCCGGUGGGAACUCUGGUCGUAUGCUGACAGGGAAGA